rnacentral:lncRNA from 1 species
CUCGGCCCCCGCCCGGCUGUGCGCUCCUCUGAGCUCCCCUCUCUCCCCAGCCAGGAUUUUCUCCCCCUCGCCUCCCUUCCCCUCGCCUCCCCUCCCCUCCCUUCCCCUCCCCUCCCCGCGCCCGCGCGCGCUCUCUCUCUCUCCCAGAGUUCAUUCACAUUAUUGGAGUGAAGGAAGCCGAGGGAAGUGUUCCCCAGGAGGACCGAAGGGAAAGCGCGUCUCCAGCCACCUCUCUUACCCGCCCAGGACAUCCAGCCUCCCCUCCGACGGCCCUGCGGAUUCUUUAAUUUGUGGAGGAGGGCGUGGGUGGGUGUGUCCCUCCUUUCCCCUCUGUGCCUGUUCACCUGGUGAUGAAGAACCUUGGUAGACCAGCUCUCACUCCUCCACU